rnacentral:rRNA from 1 species
AGAGUUUGAUCCUGGCUCAGGAUGAACGCUGGCGGUGUGCCUAAGGUAUGCAAGUCGAGCGGGGUGAACCCUUGUGGUUUACCCAGCGGCGGACGGGUGAGUAACGCGUAGAUAACCUGCCUCGAAGUUGGACAUAGCUCCACGAAAGUGGGGGUAAUUUCCAAUGGUACCAGUUUACUAAUUGUUUACUGGGUAAAGAUUUAUCGCUUCGAGAUGGGUCUGCGUCCUAUCAGCUUGUUGGUGGGGUAAUAGCCUACCAAGGCUAAGACGGGUAGCUGGUCUGAGAGGAUGAUCAGCCACAAUGGCACUGAGAUACGGGCCAUACUCCUACGGGAGGCAGCAAUUAGGAAUCUUGCACAAUGGGGGAAACCCUGAUGCAGCGACACCGCGUGAAGGAUGAAGGUCUUCGGAUUGUAAACUUCUUUUGUAGUCUAACAAGUUCUGAGUGGUCUACGAAUAAGCACCUGCUAACUGCGUGCCAGAAGCAUCGGUGAUGCGUGGGGUGCGAGCGUUAUCCGGAUUUAUUGGGCGUAAAGAGAUGCGUAGGUGUUUUGAUGUGUCCAUUGUUAAAUGCUCCGGCUUAACUGGAGAUAUGCGAUGGAAACUGUCAAAAUUGAGGCAGAGAGAGGGAAGUGGAAUUCCCGGUGGAGCGGUGAAAUGUGUUGAUAUCGGGAGGAAUACCAGUGGCGAAGGCGACUUCCUGGCUCUGUUCUGACACUAAGGCUCGAAAGCGUGGGUAGCAAAACGGAUUANAUACCCGUGUAGUCCACGCCGUAAACGUUCCUCACUAGAUGUUGGGUGAGCUNACUUAUGGAACUUGUUUCUANUUGUUAGUGANCUCAGUGUCGUAGCAAACGCGUUAAGUGGGGCGCCUGGGAAGUACGGNCGCANGGCUAAACUCNANGAAUUGGCNGGGNNCCGCACNAGCGGUGGA